rnacentral:rRNA from 1 species
AUACGGAGGAUGCGAGCGUUAUCCGGAUUUAUUGGGUUUAAAGGGUGCGUAGGCGGAAAGUUAAGUCAGCGGUGAAACGCAGGUGCUCAACACCUGACCUGCCGUUGAGACUGGUUUUCUGGAAUGCGGAUGCUGUGGGAGGAAUGUGUGGUGUAGCGGUGAAAUGCAUAGAUAUCACACAGAACACCGAUUGCGAAGGCAUCUCACAAAUCCGCUAUUGACGCUGAGGCACGAAGGUGCGGGGAUCGAACAGGAUUAGAUACCCUGGUAGUCCGCACAGUAAACGAUGAUGACUCGCUGUCGGCGAUAGACAGUCGGUGGCCAAGCGAAAGCGAUAAGUCAUCCACCUGGGGAGUACGACCGCAAGGUUGAAACUCAAAGGAAUUGACGGGG